rnacentral:lncRNA from 1 species
CCUCAUCCAAGCGUUGAAAAUGGCAUAAUUAGUCUUGUGCCGCUCAACAUCAUCAGGAGUACUAAAAGAAUCUCUCAAUACUUGGAGUAUCUCCUCUGGCUGAGCCUCUUCAAAUUUUCAACUAAACUCGUCGUUCAUAGAGGUUCGCAUAAUGCAAUGAAUCAUGGUGCGGUCGCUGAGCCACUUCAAAUAAGUAUCUCAAAUUAUAAUCACAUAUAGGAUCCGCUCAUGCUCCAGGAUAAUCUUUAGCUUUCGAUAUCAAUUAUCAAAAUUUAGCCCGAUUAGCUUCUCACUG